AUUGAACGCUGGCGGCAGGCCUAACACAUGCAAGUCGAGCGAGCGGCGGACGGGUGAGUAAUGUCUGGGAAACUGCCUGAUGGAGGGGGAUAACUACUGGAAACGGUAGCUAAUACCGCAUACCAUCAGAUGUGCCCAGAUGGGAUUAGCUAGUAGGUGGGGUAAUGGCUCACAUAGGCGACGAUCCCUAGCUGGUCGGAGAGGAUGACCAGCCACAGUGGAACUGAGACACGGUCCAGAGUCCUACGGGAGGCAGGAGUGGGGAAUAUUGCACAAUGGGCUCAAGCCUGAUGCAGCCAUGCCGCGGGGGUGAAGAGGGCCUUCGGGUUGUAAAGCACUUUCAGCGGGGAGGCGUUACCCGCAGAAGAAGCACCGGCUAACUCCGUGCCAGCAGCCGCGGUAAUAC
rnacentral:rRNA from 1 species